CCUACGGGAGGCUGCAGUGAGGAAUAUUGGUCAAUGGGCGCGAGCCUGAACCAGCCAAGUCGCGUGAAGGAUGACUGCCCUACGGGUUGUAAACUUCUUUUAUAAAGGAAUAAAGUGAGGCACGUGUGCCUUUUUGUAUGUACUUUAUGAAUAAGGAUCGGCUAACUCCGUGCCAGCAGCCGCGGUAAUACGGAGGAUCCGAGCGUUAUCCGGAUUUAUUGGGUUUAAAGGGAGCGUAGAUGGGUUGUUAAGUCAGUUGUGAAAGUUUGCGGCUCAACCGUAAGAGUGCAAUUGAUACUGGCAGCCUUGAGUACAGUUGAGGUAGGCGGAAUUCGUGGUGUAGCGGUGAAAUGCGUAGAUAUCACGAAGAACUCCGAUUGCGAAGGCAGGUUACUAAACUGCCACUGACAUUGAUGCUCGAAAGUGUGGGUAUCAAACAGGAUUAGAUACCCGGGUAGUC
rnacentral:rRNA from 1 species